rnacentral:rRNA from 1 species
ACACGUAGGGGCCUAACGUUGUUCGGAAUCAUUGGGCGUAAAGGGCGCGCAGGCGGCCGUCCAAGUCCGGUGUUAAAUGGUCGGGCUCAACCCGAUCAUGCGCUGGAAACUGGGCGGCUUGAGUUCCGCAGGGGAUGCCGGAAUUCCAGGUGUAGGGGGUAAAUCUGUAGAUAUCUGGAAGAACACCGAUGGCGAAGGCAGGCAUCUGGCCGGAGACUGACGCUGAGGCGCGAAGGCGCGGGGAGCGAACAGGUUUAGAUACCCUGGUAGUCCGCGCAGUAAACGAUGCGCACCAGGUGUCGGGCGGCAGCGCCCGGUACCGGAGCUAACGCGAUGAGUGCGCCGCCUGGGGAGUAUGCCCGCAAGGGUGAAACUCAAAUGAAUUGACGGGG